UAUUGGACAAUGGGGGGAACCCUGAUCCAGCGACGCCGCGUGAGUGAAGAAGUAUUUCGGUAUGUAAAGCUCUAUCAGCAGGGAAGAAAGAAAUGACGGUACCUGACUAAGAAGCCCCGGCUAACUACGUGCCAGCAGCCGCGGUAAUACGUAGGGGGCAAGCGUUAUCCGGAUUUACUGGGUGUAAAGGGAGCGUAGGUGGCAUGGCAAGCCAGAAGUGAAAACCCGGGGCUUAACCCCGCGGAUUGCUUUUGGAACUGUCAGGCUGGAGUGCAGGAGGGGCAGGCGGAAUUCCUGGUGUAGCGGUGAAGUGCGUAGAUAUCAGGAGGAACACCGGUGGCGAAGGCGGCCUGCUGGACUGUAACUGACACUGAGGCUCGAAAGCGUGGGGAGCAAACAGG
rnacentral:rRNA from 1 species